AAGCGUGAGCCACCACGGCGGGCCGUGGGGGUGGAUCUUUUUAAAGCCAGAAAUAUUUGCUCUUAAAGUCUCAAAAGCAAAACUGAUCUUUAUGGAUGCUGGUGGUUAAUUGCAGAGGUGGAGAGGCAGUAUGUGCGAUGGUUAUGACCACAGGCUUCAGAAUCAGAUCGACAUCAGUUUUCAAAGAAGAAUGGAAGAAACCAUGAAGCUUGCUACGAUGGAAGACACAGUGGAGUACCGCCUGUUCCUGAUACCAGAUGAGUCAAGGGACUCAGAUAAACACAAAGAGGUUCUUCAGAAGUACAUUGAGAGAAUAAUGACUCAGUUUGCACCUAUGCUGGUCCCCUACAUCUGGCAGAAUCAGCCUUUCAAUCUUAAAUAUAAACCUGGGAAAGGAGGUGUUCCUGCUCAUAUGUUUGGCGUGACAAAGUUUGGGGAUAAUAUUGAGGAUGAAUGGUUUAUUGUUUAUGUAAUAAAGCAGAUCACAAAGGAAUUUCCAGAGUUAGUAGCAAGGAUUGAAGACAAUGAUGGUGAAUUCUUGUUAAUAGAAGCUGCUGACUUUCUCCCCAAAUGGCUGGAU
rnacentral:sRNA from 1 species